GAAAGACACAAAUGGAAAAGAUUCAGGGGGCAUGGAAUGGAAUGGUGGAGCUCCUGCAUAGAAGCACCAAAAGGAAAGGCAUGUUACUGUAGCAAGCACCCAUGAAAGGAUUCCCCACCACAGAGUAGACUCACCUGUGCUGAAACUUCCUGGGGCAACUGUUGUGGAAGGAGCUACCUCCGAGGUGCCUGGAACACAAAGAGACUGAGAAGUUGUGGCCUCUGAGAAAGAGGAAAACAGGACAGGAGUGAUGAACAAUAUUUCAAGACCAUGGAAAACUUAAGGUGGUUCUCCUACCCAGGAUAACACUGAAGGAGAAUUUGUCAUAGAUGGACUCCUGGAGGAAUCUGCCACCUCAGGGACUCACCUGUGUUGGAACUGCCAGGUGCAACAGUUGUGCCAGGAGCUACCCCAGUGGUGGCUGAAACACAAAGGGUCUGUGAUCAUCACAGUGACUUGUGUUUGUCUUCUGAAGACCUUCCUCCAGAAGGAAUCUGGGUGUAUCUUUGUUAUAUCAAAGGGCCCUUUCACUGCUUCCUGAUUAACUGAGAAUCAUAUGCCUUUGCUAUGACCCAUAGCAAAUUAAAAGAGCAAUGGAAAUAGUAAUGUGCCCAAAUUGAGGCCCCUCCACUGAAUUUCAUACAUUCACUCCCAGACAAGGAAACAGGGUGGCUUUCCCUCCCCUUCACCUGUCAGGCUCCCAGUUGCUUGGCCUCCUGAGGCUGCAGGGGUGCCUGCCAUGGGAUGAAAACCAGAACAAUGUUGUCAUGUGCCAAGAACACUGGAAAAUAUUUCAUAUCAUUAUUGCUUUUUUGAGUAAGAAAACUUUUAUACAGGAUAUGCUUGCUUCGAGAAUUUAUAUUGUUUUCUUUCCAGAAAUACAAUAUUUGUCAGCUCCCUCUACACCACAGUGGUAUACGUGGUUUUGCAGGAGAAAUCUGUUAUGCUGACUGUACCACCAGCCCCUCUUUAGAAAGUUACAGCUGUGGGGCUAGAUGUUGGUUUUAAGAGUUUUCCAGAAUGUGUUCAGUGUAAGAAAACACUGAAAGUAAAUGCAAACCACUACCUAGG
rnacentral:lncRNA from 10 species